rnacentral:rRNA from 1 species
AUUGAACGCUGGCGGCAUGCCUUACACAUGCAAGUCGAACGGCAGCACGGGGCAACCUGGUGGCGAGUGGCGAACGGGUGAGUAAUGCAUCGGAACGUACCUUUCAGUGGGGGAUAACGUAGCGAAAGUUACGCUAAUACCGCAUAUUCUGUGAGCAGGAAAGCAGGGGAUCGCAAGACCUUGCGCUGAUUGAGCGGCCGAUGUCAGAUUAGCUAGUUGGUGAGGUAAGGGCUCACCAAGGCGACGGUCUGUAGCGGUGCUGCGAGGAUGAGCCGCCAAACUGGAACGGAGACACGGUCCAGACCCCUACGGGAGGCAGCAGUGGGGAAUUUUGGACAAUGGGGGCAACCCUGAUCCAGACAUGCCGCGUGAGUGAAGAAGGCCUUCGGGUUGUAAAGCUCUUUCGGCCGGGAAGAAAUCGCACGGGCUAAUACCCUGUGUGGAUGACGGUACCGGAAUAAGAAGCACCGGCUAACUACGUGCCAGCAGCCGCGGUAACAC